rnacentral:rRNA from 1 species
AUUGAACGCUGGCGGCAGGCCUAACACAUGCAAGUCGAACGGUAGCACAGAGGAGCUUGCUCCUUGGGUGACGAGUGGCGGACGGGUGAGUAAUGUCUGGGAAACUGCCCGAUGGAGGGGGAUAACUACUGGAAACGGUAGCUAAUACCGCAUAACGUCGCAAGACCAAAGAGGAGGACCUUCGGGCCUCUUGCCAUCGGAUGUGCCCAGAUGGGAUUAGCUAGUAGGUGGGGUAACGGCUCACCUAGGCGACGAUCCCUAGCUGGUCUGAGAGGAUGACCAGCCACACUGGAACUGAGACACGGUCCAGACUCCUACGGGAGGCAGCAGUGGGGAAUAUUGCACAAUGGGCGCAAGCCUGAUGCAGCCAUGCCGCGUGUAUGAAGAAGGCCUUCGGGUUGUAAAGUACUUUCAGCGAGGAGGAAGGCGUUGUGGUUAAUAACCGCAACGAUUGACGUUACU